rnacentral:rRNA from 1 species
CAGCCGCCGCGGGAAUACAGAGGGUGCAAGCGUUAAUCGGAUUUACUGGGCGUAAAGGGCGCGUAGGUGGUUAUUUAAGUGAGAUGUGAAAUCCCCGGGCUUAACCUGGGAACUGCAUCUUAUACUGGGUAACUGGAGUGCAGUAGAGGGUAGUGGAAUUUCCGGUGUAGCGGUGAAAUGCGUAGAUAUCGGAAGGAACACCAGUGGCGAAGGCGGCUACCUGGACUGAGACUGACACUGAGGCGCGAGAGCGUGGGGAGCAAACAGGAUUAGAUACCCCAGUAGUCCCUGUCUCUUAUAC